AAACGUUUAGCACCCUAUGGGCAGGGGUGUGUCAACUAAGCCCCUGAAGUAUCUAUUUUCCUCAAAUUAAGCCCUCUGACUUAAUGGAGAGUUAACACCGUUAACUAUUUUUAUUUUUAUUUUUAUUUUUUUUACUUUGUUGGUGGUUGGGACCACACCUUCUUCUUCACCAAACUCGCCGGAAACUAGCUGGAAACCUAAUCCACGGGACUGAUUAACUUGAUUUCCGUAAN
rnacentral:lncRNA from 1 species